GGAUAGCUCAGUCGGUAGAGAACGAGACCCUUAAUCUCAGGGUUGUGGGUUUGAGACCCAUGUUGUGCA